GACGAACGCUGGCGGCGUGCUUAACACAUGCAAGUCGAGCGGUAAGGCCCUUUCGGGGGUACACGAGCGGCGAACGGGUGAGUAACACGUGGGUGACCUGCCCUCAGCUCUGGGAUAAGCCUGGGAAACUGGGUCUAAUACUGGAUAUGACUCCACGGUGCAUGUCGUGGGGUGGAAAGCCUUGUGCGGCUGAGGAUGGGCCCGCGGCCUAUCAGCUUGUUGGUGGGGGAUGGCCUACCAAGGCGACGACGGGUAGCCGGCCUGAGAGGGCGACCGGCCACACUGGACUGAGACACGGCCCAGACUCCUACGGGAGGCAGCAGUGGGGAAUCUUGCGCAAUGGGCGAAAGCCUGACGCAGCGACGCCGCGUGAGGG
rnacentral:rRNA from 1 species